rnacentral:rRNA from 1 species
UGCCUUCGCCAUCGGUGUUCCUCCGCAUAUCUACGCAUUUCACUGCUACACGCGGAAUUCCAUCCCCCUCUACCGUACUCUAGCCAUGCAGUCACAAAUGCAGUUCCCAGGUUGAGCCCGGGGAUUUCACAUCUGUCUUACAUAACCGCCUGCGCACGCUUUACGCCCAGUAAUUCCGAUUAACGCUCGCACCCUACGUAUUACCGCGGCUGCUGGCACGUAGUUAGCCGGUGCUUAUUCUUACGGUACCGUCAUGGGCCUCUCGUAUUAGGAGAAGCUUUUUCGUUCCGUACAAAAGCAGUUUACAACCCGAAGGCCUUCAUCCUGCACGCGGCAUUGCUGGAUCAGGCUUUCGCCCAUUGUCCAAAAUUCCCCACUGCUGCCUCCCGUAGGAGUCUGGGCCGUGUCUCAGUCCCAGUGUGGCUGGUCGUCCUCUCAGACCAGCUACAGAUCGUCGGCUUGGUAAGCUUUUAUCCCACCAACUACCUAAUCUGCCAUCGGCCGCUCCAAUCGCGCGAGGCCCGAAGGUCCCCCGCUUUCAUCCUCAGAUCGUAUGCGGUAUUAGCUACUCUUUCGAGUAGUUAUCCCCCACGACUGGGCACGUUCCGAUGUAUUACUCACCCGUUCGCCACUCGUCAGCGUCCGAAGACCUGUUACCGUUCGACUUGCAUGUGUAAGGCAUGCCGCCAGCGUUCAAU